GAAAUAAUCCCUCCCAAAUCAAGAUCUCUCGAUCAGUCGACCCCCAUUCUCAGGCAGUUCAGAGUCGACCUACUUCUAUUUUCAUAUCUGAAAUCGCAAGAAAUAGGGAUCAAACUAUUCUGCAUUUCUAUAAUUUUAUUUGAUUUCUUCUAGAGUUCUUAGUUCUACAUCCAGUUCUUCGAUUCUUCUACAAAGGUAAUAUUAAAUAGGUAAUUACUAUUAUUUGAUUCAUUUCAUUUCAUUUACUUAUUUUUAUAUGAUUACUAAAUAUUACAUUAUAAAUCUAAGUAAUUGAACUAGAUAAUGAUAUUAUUUUCAACGUAUAGCAGACAUCCCAAUGCAAUUCUGCAAAUUUGAAACAUUUGGUUCCGAUUCCAAGUUUGCACUCAACUACUUGGAUUCACAAAGGAUCUUAAGUGUAUUACCAUAUUUGAUUUUCUAUAGAAUUCUUGAUAUCUUCUAACUGCUUGAUGACAUCUUUCAAUAGCAUUCUUUCAUUUGAUGAAUUCAUGGAGCAAUUCAGACCAAUCCUUAUAAUUGAUACCAAGAUAUCAUAGAUUCUUCUUUCUCCCAAUCCAUCUUCUUCUUCUUGUCGUUGCAAUAGAUAUGGAUCUGCUACCUUUAAGAUUCCGUAAGGAAAAUGUGAUACUAUGUAUUCAUGGAGAGUCGUUCCUUCACCGAAAUCUUUGCUAGUCGGACUUUUACAUGUGAAAAUCUCCAGCAAAAGUAUUCCAUAGCUGUAAACAUCCCAUAGCGUGGACAAUCUGCUCCCCAUUCCGCAUUCUGCAUCACAGUUCAUUUAGAAUUGUUUAGCUAUUAAUCUCUAACGGAUUGACUAUAUUUAGCACAGGAUGAUUACCAGGGGCGAUGUAUCCAAUGGAGCCUUGGAUGGCAGUGGUUAACGUUUGAUCUUGAUCCGUCGAGAGGAAUUUUGCUAUUCCAAA
rnacentral:lncRNA from 1 species